GGGAUACAUGAGGAUAUUUGUCCAAUCAAUACUGACAUUAUAUUGAUGAUUUCAAAACAUGCACUACCAUCUGAUAUCUC
rnacentral:snoRNA from 1 species